rnacentral:rRNA from 1 species
CUAGUAACGGCGAGUGAAGAGGGAUUAGCCCAAAUUUGUAAUCUGGCUCUUUCAGAGUCUGAGUUGUAAUUUUGAGAACUGUUUUCUGCUCUGGACCAUGUACAAGUCUGUUGAAAUGCAGCAUCAUUGAGGGUGAGAAUCCUGUUCAUGAUAUGGACUACCAGAGCUUUAUGAUACAGUCUCUAAGAGUCGAGUUGUUUGGGAAUGCAGCUCAAAGUGGGUGGUAAAUUCCAUCUAAGGCUAAAUAUUGGUGAGAGACCGAUAGCAAACAAGUACCGUGAGGGAAAGAUGAAAAGAACUUUGGAAAGAGAGUUAACAGUACGUGAAAUUGUUAAAAGGGAAACAGUUGAAGUUAGACUUGUUGUUGUCAGUUCAGCCCUUUUAGGGUGUUUUCUGAUGAUUAACAAACCAACAUCAAUUUUUGGGUGUUGGAUAAGGGUCUUGGAAAUGUAGCAGUCUUGGCUGUGUUAUAGUCCUUGACUUGGAUACAAUGCUUGGGAUUGAGGAAUGCAGUAAGCCAAUUAUUUGGUGGGACAAUUCAUUGUUCUUCUUACUGAGGAUGUUGGUGCAAUAGCUUUAAUUGACCCGUCUUGAAACACGGACCAAGGAGUCUAACAUGCUUGCGAGUAUUUGGGUGUUGAAACCCUCAUGCGUAAUGAAAGUAAAUGUAAAUGGGAUCUGUUAAAAGUGCACCAUUGACCAGUCCUGAUUAUUUAUAUGAAGGUACUGAGUAAGAGCAAGUAUGUUGGGACCCGAAAGAUGGUGAACUAUGCCUGAAUAGGGUGAAGCCAGAGGAAA